rnacentral:rRNA from 1 species
CGGCGAGUGAAGCGGCAAAAGCUCAAAUUUUAAAGCUGGNACCUUCGGUGUCCGCGUUGUAAUUUUGUGAGGCAUCUCCGGGUAGGGCGCCGGCCUAAGUUCCUUGGAACAGGACGUCAUAGAGGGUGAGAAUCCCGUGCUUGGCUGGCUGUCCCCGUCCAUGUGAGGUGUCUUCGACGAGUCGAGUUGUUUGGGAAUGCAGCUCAAAAUGGGUGGUAAAUUUCAUCUAAAGCUAAAUAUUGGUGGGAGACCGAUAGCGCACAAGUAGAGUGAUCGAAAGAUGAAAAGCACUUUGAAAAUAGAGUUAAAAAGUACGUGAAAUUGUUGAAAGGGAAGCGCUUGAGACCAGACUUCGGUGGGGAGUGAUCAGCUGUCCUUCUGGGCGGUGCACUUGCUCCCCUCCGGGCCAGCAUCGGUUGGGACGGCGGGAUAAAGGUCCCGGGAAUGUGGCUCCUCUCGGGGAGUGUUAUAGCCCGGGUGAAUGCCGCCAGCCCCGACCGAGGACCGCGCCUUCGGGCUAGGAUGCUUGGCAUAAUGGUCUUCAGCGACCCGUCUUGAAACACGGACCAAGGAGUCUAACAUCUAUGCGAGUGUUUGGGUGUCAAACCCUUACGCGAAAUGAAAGUGAACGGAGGUGGGAACCCGCAAGGGUGCACCAUCGACCGGUCCCGAAGUCUUCUGAAGGAUCUGAGUAGGAGCAUAGCUGUUGGGACCCGAAAGAUGGUGAACUAUGCCUGAAUAGGGUGAAGCCAGAGGAAACUCUGGUGGAGGCUCNCAGCGGUUCUGACGUGCAAAUCGAUCGUCAAAUUUGGGUAUAGGGGCGAAAG